rnacentral:rRNA from 1 species
AUUGAACGCUGGCGGCAGGCCUAACACAUGCAAGUCGAACGGUAACAGGAAGAAGCUUGCUUCUUUGCUGACGAGUGGCGGACGGGUGAGUAAUGUCUGGGAAACUGCCUGAUGGAGGGGGAUAACUACUGGAAACGGUAGCUAACACCGCAUAACGUCGCAAGACCAAAAAGGGGGACCUUCGGGCCUCUUGCCAUCGGAUGUGCCCAGAUGGGAUUAGCUAGUAGGUGGGGUAACGGCUCACCUAGGCGACGAUCCCUAGCUGGUCUGAGAGGAUGACCAGCCACACUGGAACUGAGACACGGUCCAGACUCCUACGGGAGGCAGCAGUGGGGAAUAUUGCACAAUGGGCGCAAGCCUGAUGCAGCCAUGCCGCGUGUAUGAAGAAGGCCUUCGGGUUGUAAAGUACUUUCAGCGGGGAGGAAGGGAGUAAAGUUAAUACCUUUGCUCAUUGACGUUACCCGCAGAAGAAGCACCGGCUAACUCCGUG